AGAGUUUGAUCCUGGCUCAGAAUGAACGCUGGCGGCGUGCUUAACACAUGCAAGUCGUGCGCGAAGGUGGCUUCGGCCACCGGAGAGCGGCGAACGGGUGAGUAACACGUGGGUGAUCUGCCUGGAAGCGGGGGAUAACCUGGGGAAACUCGGGCUAAUACCGCAUACGUUGUCGCGGGUAGACUGUGACAAGAAAACCGGCCUCUGCUUGCAAGCUGGUGUUUCCAGAGGAGCCCGCGUCUGAUUAGCUAGUUGGUGAGGUAAUGGCUCACCAAGGCGACGAUCAGUAGCCGGCCUGAGAGGGUGAUCGGCCACACUGGGACUGAGACACGGCCCAGACUCCUACGGGAGGCAGCAGUGGGGAAUAUUGGACAAUGGGCGCAAGCCUGAUCCAGCAACGCCGCGUGGAGGACGAAGGUCUUCGGAUCGUAAACUCCUGUCAGAUGGGACGAAGGUUCCAGGGUAAAUAAUCCUGGAUCUUGACGGUACUAUCAGAGGAAGCCCCGGCUAACUCCGUGCCAGCAGCCGCGGUAAUACGGAGGGGGCGAGCGUUAUUCGGAAUUAUUGGGCGUAAAGGGCGCGUAGGCGGCUUGGCAAGUCAAAGGUGAAAUCCCUCGGCUCAACUGAGGAACUGCCUUUGAAACUGCCUGGCUUGAGGCCGGGAGGGGGUAGCGGAAUUCCCAGUGUAGCGGUGAAAUGCGUAGAUAUUGGGAGGAACACCAGUGGCGAAGGCGGCUACCUGGACCGGUUCUGACGCUGAUGCGCGAAAGCGUGGGUAGCAAACAGGAUUAGAUACCCUGGUAGUCCACGCUGUAAACGAUGGGUGCUCGGUGUCGCGGGUAUCGACCCCUGCGGUGCCUUAGCUAACGCGUUAAGCACCCCGCCUGGGGAGUACGGUCGCAAGGCUGAAACU
rnacentral:rRNA from 1 species